GACGAACGCUGGCGGCGUGCUUAACACAUGCAAGUCGAACGGAAAGGCCCUGCUUUUGUGGGGUGCUCGAGUGGCGAACGGGUGAGUAACACGUGAGUAACCUGCCCUUGACUUUGGGAUAACUUCAGGAAACUGGGGCUAAUACCGGAUAGGAGCUCCUGCUGCAUGGUGGGGGUUGGAAAGUUUCGGCGGUUGGGGAUGGACUCGCGGCUUAUCAGCUUGUUGGUGGGGUAGUGGCUUACCAAGGCUUUGACGGGUAGCCGGCCUGAGAGGGUGACCGGCCACAUGGGGACUGAGAGACGGCCCAGACUCGUACGGGAGGCAGCAGUGGGGAAUAUUGCACAAUGGGCGGAAGCCUGAUGCAGCAACGCCGCGUGCGGGAUGACGGCCUUCGGGUGGUAAACCGCUUUCGCCUGUGACGAAGCGUGAGUGACGGUAAUGGGUAAAGAAGCACCGGCUAACUACGUG
rnacentral:rRNA from 1 species